rnacentral:rRNA from 1 species
UACGGGGGGGGCAAGCGUUGUUCGGAAUUACUGGGCGUAAAGGGCUCGUAGGCGGCCAACUAAGUCGAACGUGAAGUCCCUGGGCUCAACCCAGGAACUGCGUCCGAUACUGGUUGGCUUGAAUCCGGGAGAGGGAUGUGGAAUUCCAGGUGUAGCGGUGAAAUGCGUAGAUAUCUGGAGGAACACCGGUGGCGAAGGCGACAUCCUGGACCGGCAUUGACGCUGAGGCGCGAAAGCCAGGGGAGCAAACGGG